rnacentral:lncRNA from 1 species
GAAGUUUGCCGGACUGGGUGGCACUCCAAAAUAAUUGGUCACGUUGGGCGAUGAGAAAUCAUCCAUCUCGUCGUUCAUCAAGAUGCCCGUCUGCUCCGAGAUCCAUCCAGCGCCGAAUCUACGGUGGUGCAAGUUCCGAGUUGGUGCCUACCUUCCGUGUGAUCCGCGCCGGCCAAAGAUGCUCAAUGCUACUCCGGAAUUUCGAGAUUGGAGCUGCGGAUAUACAACAACCGUUUGCCCAGUCGGAUGAACUUGGUCGGACUGGAUAGCCCUACAAUGUAAUUGAUCGCGUUAGCUAAUCAAUCAUCCAUUUCGCUGUUCAUCAGGAUUGCUGUCUACCACAUGAUCCAUCCAGCACUAAACCUUAAGGUUGAAAUUUGAAGUGACAAAAGCAGACAUUCGUUUGCCAUUCCAAACGGAAAUAUGCGCGUUGUGCUGAUCCGGAUUGUGUGAAACUUGGGGUUUCUUCUUUAGCUACUUUAGCGAAUAAACCGAUGUUAAAUAUGUCUCUGUUAUUAGCUGACAAACCGAUCCCGCAUCUUAUAUCGCCUUGUUAUUAGCGGCUCCAAUCGCUAAUAGUCAAAUUUUAUUAGCUGUUGGAGUCGCUAAUAACAAGGCGAUAUAAUAUAAAUAUUUUUAGAUACUUGAACCUAUUUGCUGUUCCAACCGCUAAUAAUUUUAUUAGCUGUUGGAGUCGCUAAUAACAAGGCGAUAUCAUACAAAUAUUCUUAGAUUCUUGAAUCUAUUUGCUGUUCCAACCGCUAACAAAGACGGUUUUGACUUGCUUGCCAAGCCAAUCAGAGGGCCAGAAAAGGUCCGUUUUUCUUGUUUUUUUCUGUGCUUUCUCGCUUUAGCGUUCACGAGGGAGGGGCGCUUGCGUUUAACGUCGGGGGCCCCCUCCGGGGGCGACGUUAACGCAGCCCCUUCCGAGCACGGUCGAAGCGCCACACGGCGCGAGACACCGUUUACCUGUAUGUCGUACAAAAAGUUAAAUUCAUUUCCUUCCUCGUGAACGCUAUAGCGUGAAAGCACUGAAAAAAACAAGGAAAACGGCCUUAUACGGCCGUUAUUAGCUUGUUAUUAGCUUGUUAUUACCUUAUCACCUUGUUAUUAGCGACUCCAACAGCUAAUAAAUACAUUUUUUUAGCGGUUGGAACAGCAAAUAGGUUGAAGAAUCUAAGAAUAUUUAUAUGAUAUCACCUUGUUAUUAGCGACUCCAACAGCUAAUAAAUACAUUUUGUUAGCGGUUGGAACAGCAAAUAGGUUCAAGUAUCUAAGAAUAUUUGUAUGAUAUCGCCUUGUUAUUAGCGACUCCAACAGCUAAUAAAAUUUGACUAUUAGCGGUUGGAGCCGCUAAUAACAAGGUGAUAUAAGAUGCGGGAUCGGUUUGUCAGCUAAUAACAGAGACAUAUUUAACAUCGGUUUAUUCGCUAAAAUAGCCAAUGAAGACGACCCGUGAAACUUUAUGUCGCUACGGAAGGCCGCCCCAAGAUUAAUUUCUUGCAGUGAAUUGGCGAGCCGAAUGUGAACCGGAAUUGCUUUCUCCGCCAGAUCGGAAAUCGUGAGAACUAAUCAAGUCCAUGGCAAUGCUGUAUAUUACUGAUGAACGGCCUUUCUUCCAUCCAACAAUACGUCGCCACCAGCGGAACUGGACAAAGGAAAUUAAACGUAACAAUUCGCUAUCGGCACUGACAACUGCCGUUUUGAAUUUACCCAAUCGAGAUGUUGAUGGAAAUUAAGAGGUUUUGGCAACCCUGGACAACUCAAUACUCGAAGCAGACUCAAAGUACAUAACGGCCAUCGUGCGCAGCUUCUUCAAACUCUGGAUCCUCUCGUUGUAGCCCUGACGUCUUUCUCGCUGUUCUGCGUCAAUGAUCAGAUCGAUGUACUGAGGAGUCGAGAACGGAUUCGGACGUAGAGCGAUCGCAUCAAGCUGCUGGAUGCAUUGUGAAACAAUAUUGACGCGUUCCAGAACAGUCUUGUUGUUUUCGUCGACCUCCCUUUCCAAAGCUUUCAAUACUUCUUCGGCUGUCAGUUUCGUCUUCAAUUCCUUUUCGUAUUUUUCUUUGAUAGCUUCCGAUGAAAGGAUCUGCUUCUCCAAGACGUACUCCCACCUGUACGGUUGGUUGGCGUGCAUGUUCCAGAUGCAUUUCUGCGGGCAAAUGCGGCAGGUUCGAUUUUCUUCCGGCAUGUUUUGAUUCAUAGCAGAACAUCUUGCCUUGUCACUAUCGUUGGCAAAUACACAGGCCGAUUUUAAUGAGCGGUUGGAGCCCAUCUACAGUCACUUCCAAUCGCUUCCUCUCCUCGAGAACAUCUUUGGUUAACGAAAGUGAUUUCGUCUCCAUUGUGGCCAAUGCGAUGAAGAAGCGUCGAAAAUUCUCUAUUCCCAUGUUCCAGAAAAAGCGUUUAAACUUGUCGGUGUUAUUACUGGCGCCACCUCCAGACUCGAGGCUUGAGCAGAAGAAACCGGAAUUAUUGAAUUUGUGGUGGCGCGGUUUCCCGGUUUCGAGGUCUACCGGAUACGGGAGCUCGGUCUCGGUUAUCGCUUCUAGAAUAGGUGGCACCUGGCUGUCGGCGAACGUCAGCAAGAAGUCAAUGUUCUCCUUGACAUCUUUACCGAAGAUGGACAGCACCGAGUCGAAGAUGUACGUCUGGGUAGGCGUCAAGCGAGGCAGUGAAGCUUGUGCCACAAAACCAAUGACGUCCAGAUCCUGGAUGCCGUUUUUGUCCUCGAAGAACUUGCGAAUCAUUUCUGUGAUUUCCUCGUCGCGAUCGAGGCCUUCACUGUCACCGUAGCCGGGCGUGUCGACGAUCGUCAAGGAGAACGGGACGCGGAAUCCUUCUGCGUGAUGGAUGUCGUACGCUGUGAUGUUUCUGGUCUGACUGUGGCCCUGCGAAUUGCCCACCAAUUGCGAGUGGAUCAGCUGAAAUCGAAACGUGUCCUCCCAUUCAACAUUGAAAAUUACCACCAUUGCCGAAGCUAAAACGCUCGACCGUUGAAUUCAGCUCCGAUGAUUCGACGAGUGGAACAGCAAAGAGAUCCAUCCCGUUUCUAACACCGAUCUUGCUGCAACGCUUGACUAGAAUUUUGGCGAAACGGGCAUCUUGUUGGAUCGUCGUCAGGUAGGCGCACUCGCUCGGUGCACUGGUCUGCCCUCCAUCAUUGGAAACGGUCACGAUGUGAACGCGGUACGUUGUUUCGGGCUGAAGGUUCUCCAAUUGACAUCCGGACUCAUUGAAAGGGACCUUCAGUUCAUUAGCAGAUGAAUCAUCUUCUCCUGCUUGCCAAUACAGGACGCGAUAAAAGACUUCGUUUCCUGCACUGGUUGCCUUCCAUCUCAAUUCCGCCGUGGACUGUCCCACCAUUCCAACUUUCACGUCAGUCGGAGGCGUUAAAUCAGGUCGUUCAGCCUUACUGUUGGUCGGGGGCUGACUUACGAGUUGAACUGAUUCGUCUUGUCUUCCAGUGUCGGGAUUUACUACUUCCGAACAGAUUGAUCCCUCGUCGGAAAGAGUCUCGCCAUCUUCACUAGCAUCCACUAUCGUGUUUGUAUGGAUGAUGUCGCUGAAUUCGCUUCGACCGAUGCAAGUAUCAGCCGCCACCCGGAAUUUCAUCGACGAUCCGAUUGUUUCUAUUGGCUGUUGACUCGUCGACAUAGAUGUUGCAGCAGGUUCAGUCUUCCUAGAUCGAUCCAUCUCCUCUUCGUUUUUCGGAUCGACUUCGCGUACCGUGGCUGUAUCGACGACUUCGCUGAAUUCACUUCGACCGAUGCAAGUGUCAGCCGCCACGCGGAUCGUCAUCGCCGAUCCACUUGUGUAGGGAAUUGCCAGUUGGGUCUCACCGGAUUUCGUCGUCUUCCGUUGCGUCCAUACUUCAUCCUUGUUCCCAUCCAGUCGAUAUUCUACCAAGAAGUGGCACGGGAAACCAAGGUCUUCAUAGUCCCACUCGAGAUCGAUGGCGUGAUCGGCAAGCUCCUGGAUUCUGGCCAGCACAGGCUUCUGAUUGCGUUUGAGCAUGUGCCACGGAACGUCGUCUCCGUCUUCUUCGUCUUCAUCUUCAUCGUCAGUGCUACCUUCGUCGGUGUCUUCGUCGUCGUCACGUACCGGUCCUAUCACAAAAACUCAACUUUUCCAUUGCGCACUUCGGCUUGGUCAACAAACGCUCAAUUUUAUCAGCAGUGACGCACAUAUUUAUUUACGUUGUUGUUCAAAAAUCGGAAAUUAUAUGCUUGGUAACUACAUUUAGUCGAGGCUGAAACCGCCACGACAUUUAUUCUUUUCAAGGUGAAAUAUGUCGUCGACUUCUGGCUUUUCUAUUGUUAAAUGCAAGAUUCUCUGCGUGGGAAUAAAAGAAAAAGAAAAAAAUAGAUUUUCAUUCGUGCCAAUGCCGGGGAUCAACUUAAGUUAAUAAUUUCUUAAAAAAUGAAUUCCACUGAAUGUAAUUGUUGUUUCAAAUAAUAAACUUAACACACUCCCUUA